rnacentral:misc_RNA from 1 species
AAUGCGAUAAGUAAUGUGAAUUGCAGAAUUCAGUGAAUCAUCGAAUCUUUGAACGCACCUUGCGCUCCUUGGUAUUCCUUGGAGCAUGCCUGUUUGAGUAUCAUGAAAUCUUCAAAGUAAAUCUUUUGUUAACUCAAUUGGUUUCUACUUUGGUAUUGGAGGUCUUUGCAGCUUCACACCUGCUCCUCUUUGUUCAUUAGCUGGAUCUCAGUGUUAUGCUUGGUUCCACUCGGCGUGAUAAGUUAUCUAUCGCUGAGGACACUGUAAAAGGUGGCCAAGGUAAAUGCAGAUGAACCUCUUCUAAUAGUCCAUUGACUUGGACAAUACUUUUAUGAUCUGAUCUCAAAUCAGGUAGGACUACCCGCUGAACUUGAGC